rnacentral:rRNA from 1 species
UACGUAGGGGGCUAGCGUUGUCCGGAAUCAUUGGGCGUAAAGCGCGUGUAGGCGGUCCGGUAAGUCCGCUGUGAAAGUCGGGGGCUCAACCCUCGGAUGCCGGUGGAUACUGUCGGGCUUGAGUACGGAAGAGGAGAGUGGAAUUCCUGGUGUAGCGGUGAAAUGCGUAGAUAUCAAGAGGAACACCAGUGGCGAAGGCGAGUCCCUGGACAACACCUGACACUGAGGCACGAAAGCUAGGGGAGCAAACAGG